CAGCCGCCGCGGUAAUACGAAGGGGGCUAGCGUUGCUCGGAAUGACUGGGCGUAAAGGGCGCGUAGGCGGUUCUGCAAGUUAGAUGUGAAAUUCCUGGGCUUAACCUGGGGGCUGCAUUUGAUACUGUGGGGCUUGAGUAUGGAAGAGGGUCGUGGAAUUCCCAGUGUAGAGGUGAAAUUCGUAGAUAUUGGGAAGAACACCGGUGGCGAAGGCGGCGACCUGGUCCAUAACUGACGCUGAGGCGCGAAAGCGUGGGGAGCAAACAGGAUUAGAUACCCGGGUAGUCCCUGUCUCUUAUAC
rnacentral:rRNA from 1 species